rnacentral:rRNA from 1 species
UACGGAGGGUGCAAGCGUUGUCCGGAUUUAUUGGGUUUAAAGGGUACGUAGGCGGUAUAAUAAGUCAGUGGUGAAAGUCUUCAGCUUAACUGGAGGACUGCCAUUGAUACUGUUAAACUAGAGUAUGGUCGAGGUAGGCAGAAUUGAUAGUGUAGCGGUGAAAUGCAUAGAUAUUAUCAAGAAUACCGAUAGCGAAGGCAGCUUACUAGACCGUAACUGACGCUGAUGUACGAAAGCGUGGGUAGCGAACAGG